AGCGAACGCUGGCGGCAGGCCUAACACAUGCAAGUCGAACGAAGUCUUCGGACUUAGUGGCGGACGGGUGAGUAACACGUGGGAACGUGCCUUUAGGUUCGGAAUAACUCAGGGAAACUUGUGCUAAUACCGAAUGUGCCCUUCGGGGGAAAGAUUUAUCGCCUUUAGAGCGGCCCGCGUCUGAUUAGCUAGUUGGUGAGGUAAAGGCUCACCAAGGCUACGAUCAGUAGCUGGUCUGAGAGGAUGACCAGCCACAUUGGGACUGAGACACGGCCAAAACUCCAGCGGGAGGCAGCAGUGGGGAAUCUUGCGAAAGGGGCGAAAGCCUGACGCAGCCAUGCCGCGUGGAUGAUGAAGGUCUUAGGAUUGUAAAAUCCUUUCACCGGGGACGAUAAUGACGGUACCCGGAGAAGAAGCCCCGGCUAACUUCGUGCCAGCAGCCGCCGCGGUAA
rnacentral:rRNA from 1 species